ensembl:lncRNA
CCCAGACCUGAAUCCAAUUGAGCACAUCUGGGACAUCAUGUCUCGCUCCAUCCACCAACGCCACGGUGCACCACAGACUGUCCAGGAGUUGGCAGAUGCUUUAGUCCAGGUCUGGGAGGAGAUCCCUCAGGAGACCAUCCGCCACCUCGUCAGGGCAUGCCCAUUGUGGAGGUCAUACAGCACGUGGAGGCCACACACACUACUGAGCCUCAUUUUGACUUGUUUUAAGGACAUUACAUCAAAGUUGGAUGAGCCUGUAGUGUGGUUUUCCACUUUAAUUUUGAGUGUGACUCCAAAUCCAGACCUCCAUGGGUUGAUAUUUGUUUCCAUUGAUCCUUUUUGUGUGAUUUGUUGUCAGCACAUUCAACUAUGUAAAGAAAAAAGUAUUUAAUAAGAAUAUUUCAUUCAGAUCUAGGAUGUUAUUUUAGUGUUCCCUUUUAUUUUUCUGAGCAGUGUAUUAUGACGCCUUUUGUGAUGUUUUUGUUCGUUUUGGACUUUGAGUUUUUAGAGGGGCUGUUCAGGCAUGCUCUUAACCACCUAGGCUAUCUGUCACCCAGAAUGAAUAGGCGCAAGACAUUCUUCCUAUCCACACGUAACUCGGGGUACAAGUGACAAUCCCAACAGACAGACUGCUUCUCAAGAACUUUGUACCCAAAUCACCAAUAUUGUCACUGUAAGUAGUUGUUUGAUGACGGGAAAGACUAAAUUAGAUGUGACAUCAGAUGUGGAUAGACAAAAGAUCCCACAUAUGCUGUAACACUGAUGGGGUGCUCUACCAGAAAACGAUGAAGAUACCACAGUAUGCUGUUACACUGAAGGGCUGCUCUACCAGAAACAGAUGAGAUACCACAGUAUGCUGUAAACACUGAUGGGGCUGCUCUACCAGAAACAGAUGAGAUACCACAGAUGCUGUAACACUGAUGGGGCUGCUCUACCAGAAACAGAUGAAGAUACCACAGUAUGCUGUACACUGAUGGGGCUGCUCUACCAGAAACAGAUGAAGAUACUACCGUAUCUGUUUACACUGAUGGGGCUGCUUACCAGAAACAGAUGAGAUACACAGUAUGCUGUAACACUGAUGGGGCUGCUCUACCAGAAACAGAUGAAGAUACCACAGUAUGCUGUUACACUGAUGGGCUGCUCUACCAGAAACAGAUGAAGAUACCACAGUAUGCUGUUACACUGAUGGGGCUGCUCUACCUGAAACAUAUGAAGAUACCACAGUAUGCUGUUACACUGAUGGGGCUGCUCUACCAGAAACAGAAGAAGGGGGAUAGGGUUUGCAAAAUUCCAGUCACUCCCCAAAUUCCCAGGUUUUCUAGAAAUCUCUGUUGGAAGUUUACUGGAUUUCCUGCUUAUUCCCUCCUGAUUCCAGGAAUCUUCCAACCAGUAUUUUAGAAAAACCUGGGAAUUUUUGCAGAGUUACUGGAAUUGUGCAACCCCAAUGGGGAUAACAAUAUACAGCAGGUCCAAGGUAAAAAGGAAGCAUCUCCACAUGGACUCCCACAAGCUAUUCCUCAUAUUGUUUAACAUAAGGAUGAUGUCAUCAUCAGUAUAGACAAGUAUAAAGGCCUCAUUGGAGAAAACUGGACAUUCAUUGGGUCAUAACAUUUGAUUGAGCCAGGGUUGGUGGGAUGGCUUCAUAGAGAGUCUCUAUCGAUGACAUGGACUGACUGCAGGGGGUUAUUCAUCUAAAAGACAAUGUCAGGGGAUGCCUUGCCACAAGUGCAGGCAACUGCUUGAUAUUCAAACCAAAUGUGUGGAAAAAGCAGGUGAACUAGAAAGAAUGAAGAAUACAGUGAUGGGACAGAAAAGGAAUCGUCCACACCUUGCAUGAUUGUAAUGGGUCUCGGUCAGCUAUGUACAUCCGAAUACAUGUUUAUUUAUAGAUACUUCUCUCUAAUAUAUUAAUGUACAAAAUAUAGAAUCUAAAAUAUCUGAUAGGGUUUGGUGUUUGAGUCAAAAUACAAAAUGUCAAAUACAAAACUUUUCGUUGACAUCCUCAGUUGAGUGUCGU